CAUGCACAGCCGUCAACCAUGCAGAAAUCUGGGCACGCCCUGGGUCCUGAUUGAAAGCAUUCAUGGCCACAGUAGUUGCUGCAGCCGCUUGUCGCGUUAUUGUCACCGUGACAUUCAGCUGUGUGAAAAAAAAACAGUUACACUCUGGGUUCGUUGCACGCGUCCGUGUAGCCUAACUUCAAGCUGCAGCUGAAAAUCAGUGCUUUGCUUUUAAGCAAAACCAUGACUGAGCUGUAGCCUAUUUGGAUCACUGCGACACACAUGGCGAAACCAUAUUUUCAUAUUUUAUCUUUUGUUGUAUGUUUUGAAAAGUGUAAAUAAUUUGAUUGUAUAAAUUCAUUUGUAAAUUUACGUGUGUCAUAAAUGGCUCAAAUAAAAAGUUUCUAUCUAUCUAUCUACAUUCAAAGUUUAAUAUAAACUACAUAUUAAUUACACAAAAUAUAUAAACACCGAUAAGUGAGUUUUAUUUAUUUGUUUUACACAGUUGUAUGAAAAAGAAUAAGUACAUUCUUUUUUUUAAUUUCAUUAUUUACUUUUUAUAGAGAUUUAUCUCUUCCAGACAAGCUUUGGGUAGAAGGAAUUAAAGCAUAAAUAGGUAGGUGGCUUUAUCAGGUCGAGCUCCAUGCGGGUCCUACUGGAAACCAUCGUGGUUAAUUCUAGUGGAAUUUGUUACGAUGGGCUAACGGACCUGCUUUUAUCCUUAAUUAUCGCCCGUCACUGGUGCCCCGCCAGUGUAAAUCGAUAGAUCUUUUAUAUAUUAAAAAAAAAAAAAACAAGAAUUCAUACUGGCCUGCUACCACUUAAAAAUAAAAAAGAAAUACUUAUUAUAUAGAAUUAGCGUUAGAAUUUAAAAAUAAAAAAAAAAUUAUUUACCUGUGCAAAAAUCGAGGGAAACCAUUAUAAAAGCUAAAAUAAAAAACAAUUUACGCAGAUUAUUUAACAUGAUGUUAAAAUUGCUUAUAAAAAAAAAUAUGGCGAAGACACAACUAAAUUAUAUUAUGCUUAAUUGUCAAA